UGAGGAAUAUUGGUCAAUGGGCGCGAGCCUGAACCAGCCAAGUCGCGUGAGGAAUGACGGCCCUACGGGUUGUAAACCUCUUUUGUCGGGGAGCAAAUUCCGCCACGUGUGGCGGAGUCGAGAGUACCCGAAGAAAAAGCAUCGGCUAACUCCGUGCC
rnacentral:rRNA from 1 species